rnacentral:tRNA from 1 species
AGCGAGAUGGCGCAGCUGGUAGCGCGCUGGGCUCAUACAGGAUGGUGUUUCACCAACGAUAGUCACCCAGAGGUCGUCGGAUCGAAACUGACUCUCGCUA